rnacentral:pre_miRNA from 7 species
CCAAAUGUAGUUGAAAGAUUCUCGAAUUCCCGGCUAAUGCACCAAAUGAAAGACCCUCGAGGGGAGACCCUUACUCAGACACUCAAGUCCCGGGACAGCCGCGUACCCAAGAAGACACUGAGACCA